UAAUUAUAGCCCAAGUUUAGCUAUCAACAUAAUAAGAAAGUGACUGCAACGACGUCUAAUAAAGAAAACUACAAAAUGAAUACAGAAAGAUCAUCAUUCAUUCUGCGACAAUGUCAUCAUGCUGCGCCAAAAACCGUUAAGGAGACAGGACCCCAUUUUCAUUCAGUAUGGAAAAUAAAGCCUCUCGUAAAGCAAUGCGAAAACGUAUUUAAAAUAAUAUACAAUAUAAAAUCUACUUUUAAAAAAACGUAUUUGUUCCUGUUGUUCGAUCUGGAAGCUGAUUGUCUCGUGCCUUCGCUCUAUGUAUUCGUACAGGGUGCUAAUUCUCCUUGUCAAACGUUGUUAGCUAGCUGUAGCUAGCCGACUUCCAUGUUUGUCAAAUAGGAGAGUUGUCGAUGGACGUUCACAUGCAUUUUCUGGCUUGUAAACAUAUCUUCUAGACAGCUUAUUUCUUGUGGCAAUAUGCCUAGUAACCUGUACACGUUUGUAAACCACUCUCUCUGUGUUCUGCCCAGAAUGUCUAGUGCUUGUCUGAGGUGGUCUCUGCCAUGCACCUAGAGGGGUCUGUGGUGGUACUCCCAGCUCCUGGAGAAUAGCCUCUGGGUCUGGGCUCCUAUCAUACAAUGGAAAUGUGUAACUGCACCGUUGUCUUGGAUGGUCUCCACUGUCCACCAGUGGAUGAAACUGGAGAAGGGCAGGUGCCUAACAAGAAGAAGCAGGAUCCCCGAGCCCGUGCCAUUGGUAGUCUUGGCCGGAAGAUCCACCAGCGCCACCUUCAGGUGAUUAGUGAGACUGGCGAGAACAUGGUUACCAUGCAUCGAGUUGAUGUCCUCAGACUGAUGGACGAGAAUGGGCUAAAACUGGUGCCUCAACGAAAACAAAAGAUCCACCCGUCUAAUGACUGGCAAACAUAUCCACGAGGAGCAGCUCAAACUCGGUGAGAAACAGAAAGCCAAGACAGGUAAAGGAGCUCACCAUUUCCUCUGACAUUGGUAACCAUGAUCUUCUAACCAAGCUGCGGCAGGUCCAGAAUUGGCUGGAUAAAAAGCACCGUGUCAGAAGCACUCUGAGAACAGGAUGCAUGGAACAUGUACAGCCACUGGACACAACCCUGGAGAUAGUGCAACAGAGGUGCUGGGAAUUCUUUCCAAACCCAAAGUCAUCCAAUAUGGCAGAACUGCCAUGUGCAUCCUAUGUCCACCUUCUGGGAAGGAAGUCAAAGAAAUGAACAGUUGCCGCAGCACCAUCCUGAUACCAGUUCACAGCCCACCAUGCCCAACAUAUCACCUACAGCUCACCCCACAGACCACACAGCGGUUUACUUAAUACAAUCAAACUGAACAGUUGUGCGUGUAAACUCAUGAGCUUAAAUACAAAUUAAAAAUCUACCACAGUGAACUAAA